rnacentral:rRNA from 1 species
GUGGGGAAUCUUGCGCAAUGGGCGAAAGCCUGACGCAGCAACGCCGCGUGGGGGAAGAAGGCCUUCGGGUUGUAAACCCCUUUCAGUUGGGACGAAGCUUCCAGGGUUAAUAGCCCUGUGGAGUGACGGUACCUUCAGAAGAAGCCCCGGCUAACUACGUGCCAGCAGCCGCGGUAAUACGUAGGGGGCAAGCGUUGUCCGGAAUCAUUGGGCGUAAAGCGCGUGUAGGCGGUUCGGUAAGUCCGCUGUGAAAGUCGGGGGCUCAACCCUCGGAUGCCGGUGGAUACUGUCGGGCUUGAGUACGGAAGAGGCGAGUGGAAUUCCUGGUGUAGCGGUGAAAUGCGCAGAUAUCAGGAGGAACACCAAUUGCGAAGGCAGCUCGCUGGGACGUUACUGACGCUGAGACGCGAAAGCGUGGGGAGCAAACAGGAUUAGAUACCCUGGUAGUCCACGCUGUAAACGAUGGGCACUAGGUGUGGGGGGUGUCGACUCCCUCCGUGCCGAGGCUAACGCAUUAAGUGCCCCGCCUGGGGAGUACGGCCGCAAGGC